GACAGAGGGUGCAAACGUUGUUCGGAAUUACUGGGCGUAAAGCGAGUGUAGGCGGUUUGGUAAGUCGGAUGUGAAAGCCCCGGGCUCAACCCGGGGAAGUGCACUCGAUACUGCCAAGCUAGAGUAUCGGAGAGGUUGGUGGAAUUCUCGGUGUAGAGGUGAAAUUCGUAGAUAUCGAGAGGAACACCGGUGGCGAAGGCGGUUCUCUGGGCCUUACCUGACGCUGGAGGAGCGAAAGCGGUGGGGACGCGAACAGG
rnacentral:rRNA from 1 species